rfam:Ictidomys tridecemlineatus contig051743, whole genome shotgun sequence.
GGGGUUGUGGCUCAGUGGUAGAGUGCUCACCUAGCACAUGUGAGGUACUGAGUUCAAUCCUCAGCACCA